UACGUAGGGUGCAAGCGUUAAUCGGAAUUACUGGGCGUAAAGCGUGCGCAGGCGGUGAUGUAAGACAGGUGUGAAAUCCCCGGGCUUAACCUGGGAACUGCGCUUGUAACUGGCAAGCUGGAGUGUGGCAGAGGGGGGUGGAAUUCCACGUGUAGCAGUGAAAUGCGUAGAGAUGUGGAGGAACACCGAUGGCGAAGGCAGCCCCCUGGGCUAACACUGACGCUCAUGCACGAAAGCGUGGGGAGCAAACAGG
rnacentral:rRNA from 1 species